ensembl:lncRNA
CACGAAGCAAGGAGACCUGCCAGAGACACCAGAUGGACCCCCUUUUAGGGGUCUCCUCUUUGCUGUCUCGGAGGCUUCUCUAAAGGACAAAAUACUCCAGCAGAGCAUCUCGCUCAGUUUGGAGCUGCUUCUGUGGCUUUCGCCCAGAGAAGUUUUCUGCAACGCAUCAGGACUUUUUACUCCUUGCAUCAUCCUUUCUCGUGCCUGCUUUUAAGAGCGAAAAAUAUCUACGAUCCUGCUAUCUCUAUAUUUACGAGUGUGAGCCAGUAGUCCACAUGGAGCCUGAGUGUCCACCUUGAAAGAACCUACCAGCUACGCAGAAGCUGCUGGUCUAUAGACACCCUGGAUUUCAACUUUAUUGAAAAACCCUUGCCAUCUCCGGCGGGCUCUAGAUGUUUCUCUUUUAAUCCAGGGCAGCUUCUCAAACAGAGUUUGCAAGCUUGACGUUGUAGUCUGCAGCUACACUUAGGAGUUUUGGGAUUCCAGCCCAAGUGGGAAAGUUCAUAACAUUACCCAUGCAUUUGAGUUGCUGAAGACCCAUGACCUUCACUAUUGAACUGCUUCAUUGGAGGGAAAGAAUUGCCUUGAUGUAAGGAUUAGUGUUUUCAAUUGGCCUCUGCCAAGCUGUUGCUAGCCAGAUUGUUCAGUGCACGGUUGAGGUCCCCCAAUGGUGUUCUUUAAUCCUUCCAGGUGGCAUUUGGUGUCUACUUGUGAUAGUUUUGUGGCAUUGCUCUAAUCAACUAAUGCAUUUCUUUUCUAGCAUUCUGAGUGAUGUGAAAUAUUCAUGACCUUUGCUCCGAUAAGCUGCAGUGGGGAUAAGCUGCAUUGUUAAGCUCCUCUUGGGCUCUCACAUAAUGGUUUAGAAGCAGAUUCUUCCAGCCAAGGUGUGUGGGCUUGUCAGUUUCAUAGACAAGCUAGUGUCAACAGGGUGAUAAUCCUCAAACCAAACUGGUUUGAGGAACAGGGAAAACUCCACAAUACACCAUAAAUGGUAAAUUAGCACUUAGCUGAGAGGUACACUUCAGUUCACCCAUCCAUCUUUGGCCCUUGAUGACAGGCUUGGGGGGGGGGUGCUGUAGAGGAAGAGACACAACUGAGGCCACAGAGAAUCUGUCUCCUAUUGUCAUUCUGCCCCUUCAGGCAAAGGCAAAGUCUUCAGAAAGCCUCUCCUCAUUAGUUAACUUUAGUAUUAAAAUUCUUGGAGGUCAGUAAAAACCAAGCCAAAAAACCCUCCUGGGAUGUGAGAGCUGAGGGGAGGGGCAUGUAUAUUGUUCCAUUGAUGGGUUGAACACACAGGAGAAACAAGAGACAAAACUAUUGAGAAAAAGAAGAAAUCCGAGUAUCAUCAGUUUUUGUUUUUUGUUUUUGUUUUAUUUCACUAGUGACACAUUAAGGUGGGACCAUACUUUGUUGUGGGGCUGUCCUCUGCAUUCUGGGAUAGUUGGCAUCAUCUCUGAGUGAUGCCCAUAGAUGCAGUGGCAGCACCGCUCUAACCCACCAUGUGUGUGACAUCCCGUCACUGCCAGUGUCUCUUGAGGGAAAACUGAGAACCACUACAGUGUUGGAGGGCAGCCUUCUCUUCACUCUAAAGCCAGGCACUACCAGAAUCUGAACUCUCAGCUGGCUGAAGAAUCACGUGUUAAAACACAGUGAAAUGAGAAUACUACAGUGAACAAUGGAAGCUUCUUGCUAUCAAACAUGCAGCCAAAGUACCAGAAGAUGAACACUAGACAUGGCAAGACUCCUGAGAAGAGACUCAGGUUUUUCUGACCUGGAUCACACACUCACUCAACUGUCUCAGAAGCACCUGAGUGUUGAAAAUAUGGACAACACUAGACAGAUAGAUUGGUUACUUUGCAAAUCUUUAUAACCUUCACCAUAGCUACUGUCACAUUUCUUUGUAUAAACUUGUUCUGUGCUUUCUCCCAUCCAAAUCCUAACCAGGUUUGACUCUUCAUGGCUUCUGAAAUCAGGCAUUCAGGGUGGUAUAUCCAAGCUGGCCUCAUUUCAUCUGCUCAUUCUCAAGCUAGACAAUGGGAUAGUUUGUAUCAUAAGGAAUGAAGGUAGAGAAGAGUGUUUCCCAAAGACAUGCUAAGCAUACUAGGAGGAGGGGUAUCAUUACCUGUAAAAGUGUGUGUGUGUGUGUGUGUGUGUGUGUGUGUGUGUGUGUGUGUGUGUGUGUGUCUGUGUCUGUGUCUGUGCGUGCACACACAUGGGCAUGUACUUAUGCCAGUCAUAAAGGAAUGGAUCUCAAAAAACAAGAAUCCGUUUCUCUAACCAUUAGAAGUUACUUGAUCCUAAGCAAGAAUCUCAGUAUGGGAAAAACUACAAAAUCACACAACUUAAGUUUUCUUCUAAAUCCAUACAAAAGUGCUGCUAUAUAAUAAUAGACCCACUUUCUACAGUUAAACCACAGGAUGGUACAGUUUUUUUUUUAAGGCACAUUCAAG